rnacentral:tRNA from 1 species
GUCGGGCGGGGAGCAACGCUUUUGUAAAGCGAAGGUCCCUGGUUCAAGUCCGGGAGGCGGCUCCA